GUGGAGGCAGCAGUGGGGAAUUUUGGACAAUGGGGGAAACCCUGAUCCAGCCAUUCCGCGUGAGUGAAGAAGGCCUUCGGGUUGUAAAGCUCUUUUGUCCGGAGCGAAAAGGUUACGGUGAACAUCCGUGACUACUGACGGUACCGGAAGAAUAAGCACCGGCUAACUACGUGCCAGCAGCCGCGGUAAUACGUAGGGUGCGAGCGUUAAUCGGAAUUACUGGGCGUAAAGCGUGCGCAGGCGGUUUUGUAAGCCAGAUGUGAAAUCCCCGGGCUUAACCUGGGAAUGGCAUUUGGGACUGCAAGGCUUGAGUGCGGCAGAGGAGACUGGAAUUCCUGGUGUAGCAGUGAAAUGCGUAGAUAUCAGGAGGAAUACCGAUGGCGAAGGCAGGUCUCUGGGCUGACACUGACGCUCAUGCACGAAAGCGUGGGGAGCAAACAGGAUUAGAUACCCCGGU
rnacentral:rRNA from 1 species